AUGUAUAACCUUCCUCCUUGGAUGUGCAUGAAGUGGAAGUUCAUUAUGAUGCCAGUUCUCAUCCAAGGCCCUAAGCAACCCGGCAACGACAUUGAUGUGUACCUAAGGCCAUUAGUUGAAGAACUUUUACAGCUGUGGAAUGGAAACGGUGUACGUACGUGGGAUGAGCACAAACAUGAGGAAUUUAACCUGCACGCGUUGCUGUUUGUAAUCAUCAACGAUUGGCCUGCUCUUAGUAACCUUUCAGGACAGACAAACAAGGGAUACCACGUAUGCACGCACUGUUUAGAUGACACUGAAAGUAUAUACCUGGACAAAUGCAGGAAGAAUGUGUACCUGGGCCAUCGUCGAUUUCUUCCGACCAACCAUCAAUGUCGAAAGAAAGGCAAGCAUUUCAAAGGCAAGGCAGAUCACCGGAAGAAGCCCGCCAUGCGUACCGGUGAUCACGUACUUGCUAUGGUCAAUGAUUUACACGUAAUCUUUGGAAAGGGUCCCGGCGGACUAGCUGUUCUGAAUGACGCUGAGGGACACGCACCCAUGUGGAAGAAGAACUCUAUAUUUUGGGACCUACCCUACUGGAAAGAGCUAGAGGUCCGCUCCUCAAUCGACGUGAUGCACGUGACGAAGAACCUUUGCGUGAACCUGCUAGGCUUCUUGGGCGUGUAUGGGAAGACAAAAGAUACACCUGAGACACGGGAGGACCUGCAACGUUUGCACGAAAAAGACGGCAUGCCUCCGAAGCAGUAUGAAGGUCCUGCCAGCUACGCUCUUACGAAAGAAGAGAAAGAAAUCUUCUUUGAAUGCCUGCUCAGUAUGAAGGUCCCGACUGGCUUCUCGUCGAAUAUAAAGGGAAUAAUAAAUAUGCCAGAGAAAAAGUUCCAGAACCUAAAGUCUCAUGACUGCCACGUGAUUAUGACGCAACUGCUUCCGGUUGCAUUGAGGGGGCUUCUACCGGAAAACGUCCGAUUAGCCAUUGUGAAGCUAUGUGCAUUCCUCAAUGCAAUCUCUCAGAAGGUGAUCGAUCCAGAAAUCAUACCAAGGCUAAGGAGUGAUGUGGCGCAAUGUCUUGUCAGUUUUGAGCUGGUGUUCCCACCAUCCUUCUUCAAUAUCAUGACGCACGUCCUAGUUCAUCUGGUCGACGGGAUUGUCAUUCUAGGGCCCGUAUUUCUACACAAUAUGUUCCCCUUUGAGAGGUUCAUGGGAGUCCUAAAGAAAUAUGUCUGUAACCGCGCUAGGCCAGAAGGAAGCAUCUCUAUGGGCCAUCAAACAGAGGAUGUCAUCGGGUUUUGUGUUGACUUCAUUCCUGGCCUUAAGAAGAUAGGUCUCCCUAAAUCGCGGUAUGAGGGGAUACUGACUGGAAAAGGCAUGCUUGGAGGGGACUCAAUAAUAUGCAGGGACGGAUAUUCUUGGUCUCAAGCACACUACACAGUUCUACAGAACUCUACCUUGGUGACACCGUAUGUCGAUGAACACAAGAACAGUCUGCGCUCCAAGCACCCGGAGCAGUGUGACGACUGGAUUACAUGUGAACACAUCAGGACUUUCAGCAGUUGGUUGGAAACACGUCUCAGAGGUGACAACACUGUUUGUGAUGAGCUGUACUCGUUGUCCAGGGGACCAUCUUCGACUGUAUUGACUUACAAAGGAUACGAGAUAAAUGGGAAUACAUUUUACACGAUCGACCAAGAUCAAAAGAGCACCAACCAAAACAGCGGUGUCCGCUUUGAUGCAGGAACCGAGAGGGGAAAGGACACAUGUUAUGGUUACAUAGUGGACAUAUGGGAACUUGACUAUGGACAUGAUUUUAAGGUCCCUUUGUUUAAGUGCAAAUGGGUCAAUCUGUCAGGAGACGGGGUACAGGUAGACCCACAGUACGGAAUGACAACAGUGGAUCUGAACAAUCUUGGGUACACUGACGAACCGUUCGUCCUAGCCAAUGAUGUGGCACAGGUUAUCCAUGUGAAGGACAUGUCUACCAGACCGAGAAAAAGAAAAGAUAAGGAAGCGAAUACAUCAUACGAUGAGCCAAAGCGCCACAUAGUUCUUUCAAGAAAAAGGGAUAUCGUGGGAGUGGAGGGCAAGACAGACAUGUCUGAAGAUUAUGAAAAGUUUCAUGAAAUUCCUCCCUUCAAAGUCAAGGCUGAUCCAAGCAUCCUGAUAAACGAUGAAGAUUAUCCAUGGUUACGGCGCAAUAAUCAAAGGACACAAGCGAAGAAAAAGUGA
rnacentral:rRNA from 1 species